rnacentral:lncRNA from 10 species
CCCAACUCCAUCCUGGCCUUCUUCGCCUCACUUCCAGGGGCUGCAGGGGACACCGAGCUCCUUUUCCUCUCAAAGGUGCAACAAAAACCCAGCGAGCACUGCUGCGUGCCCGGCGCUGCUAGGGACAUCAGGAGAGGGCAGAAGCCUGUGCUCCCGGAGUCGCCUUUCAGCAGGGACGCGCUGGGUGACCUCCAGCGAGUCACUGGAGCCUGCAGAAUCUCAUUUGAGAAGUUGGAUAAGAUCUCUGCCCCCACCGCCCAGGCCCCAGGGGAGCUGUGCAGACUGACUCUCUUCUGAAGAGUCCCUUGGAAAUGUUUUGGCGGUGGCAAGAGAAAGAGCUUUGCUUGUUCUUCAGAAAGACUUGCCGGAGUCAGACACUGAGGACUCC